rnacentral:misc_RNA from 1 species
GAUGAAGAACGUAGCGAAAUGCGAUAAGUAAUGCGAAUUGCAGAAUUCCGUGAGUCAUCGAAUCUUUGAACGCACAUUGCGCCCUCUGGUAUUCCGGAGGGCAUGCCUGUCUGAGCGUCAUUGUCAACCCUCAAGCUCAGCUUGCUGUUGGGUCCCCGUCGUUGCUUUAACGGCGGACCCGAAAGGUAAUGGCAGAGUCCGUGAGACCCUAGACGCAGCGAGCUUCUAGCACGCGUCUGGACGUUUUUCGGGCUCGGUCUUAACUAGAUGAUAACUUCCGAUUGACCUCAGAUCAGGUAGGGAUACCCGCUGAACUUAAGCAUAUCAAAAGCGGAGGA